GUCCAACUAAAGAGUCCCAAAUAGAACGAAAUGCACGUCAAGCUGGAU
rnacentral:hammerhead_ribozyme from 1 species